rnacentral:lncRNA from 1 species
GUGCUACAUUUUUACUAUAAAGAAGUGAAACGAAGAGUGUCACUUAAGUUACAGAGUAGAAACAAAUUCUACUAAUAUAUAAAAUUAUUUCCCAUCCUCCACCCCAUGAAUUUGAUAUAGACUUAUAUCUGAACUUUGGAAAGUGGUGGAAUGUCAAAUUCCAAACUAAAUAAGUUACUUUAUUGAGUGAAUUCCAAUUCCUCUAAAAUGAAGGGAUCCAAACGGCCCGUUAAUCAAUUGCACAUGUUUCUUGCUUACGGUUUCUGGAGAUGUAAGGGCAUGUACAGUGGAGAGACACCAAAACGGUUCUCCAAACACAGGAGAUAACUAAGAGACUCUAUUGUACAAUGGAAUGUCUAUAAACAUAGCCUAUUAAUAAAUACAGAAUUAAAUGUAUUUAUAUAGCAUCAGAUCGAUAGAACAGACGACAAAUUCGUACAGUUGGAAGUGAGGCGUCUGUUGCUACUUGGUUUAUGAGCCAGAUGCGUCUCUUCACGGAUAGACAGCUUUAAGAUUUUUUUACAAAUAACCCCCUUAAACACCUUAAGCGCCUCCACAUUAAACACCACUGUACAUGCCCUAAUAUAAAUUUCGUUGAAGCAUUGGAGCGAUGAGUCGUGCUCCAGUACGUAGAGAGAGAGAGAAAAAAAAGAGUUUGCAAAUGUCACGAGCUCGAAUAACGAUUGAUCGAUGAAGAUAAAGAACUGGUGGCAUACAUCCUCAUCACUGUGAUAGAUGAAUAAUAUGACUCGGUUCUUUCCCAAGCUGAACGAUUAGAUAUGUGUAACAAUGUCUACAACUCAUCGUGGGCCCUUGACGUGAUGGCAUCCUAGCAAUGUUCCAGAGAAUAAAACCCUGAGUAUGGAAUUACUCAGCAAGUCUUACCCGACUAAAGAAAAGACUCUCAAGGGUAUGCUGGAUAAAUAGGAGUCAAGGAGAGGCUUUAGCAAAAAUCAAC